GGUUCUAAUAUGUUCUCUUCAAAACAGCUAUCAACUGAGAUCGCGUGAGAUACAGCAGUGGACAUUAGAACCUACCAUAAUUGACUGGAAAACAGACUCAUGGAUCUGACUUCACAGCUGUAAACUAACACUUGGAUGAGUCAACCUGUCAGAGCCCUGGGACUUGAGAUUUCCAGAAAAAUUCCAGCCCAAAAGCAGAAGACUUCUACGGAGAGAGAGACACUAAGCCACAAACAGGGCCAGCCAUACUCCUCAAGAACCAUGGAAGAAACUCUCACUAGCAUGACUUCACAUCACUUAGCUCCGAACCUUCAUGGAUCCUGGAGAAUUCUCUGCACAGAGCCAUGGACUUCGCUCUCCAGCCUACAGGCUUUGGAUUUAUUUCUGACUGUUGGGAAACACCCAUCCCCAUCAUGCCUUCUGCUUUCAGCCCAGGCCCUAGCUUGUGUAAACACAAUGAAGAAGGGGCUUCCCUCGUGGCCCAGUGGUUGAGACUCCACCUGCUAAUGCAGGGGACGUGGGUUCGAGCCCUGGCCCAGGAAGAUCCCACGUGCUGCGGAGCAACAAAGCCCCGUGCACCACAACUAUUGAGCCUAUACUCUAGAGUCCAUGAGCCCCAACUACUGAAGCCCACGCCUAGAACCCAUGCUCCGCAACAAGAGAAACUACCGCAAUAAGAAGCCGGCGCACCGCAAUGAAGAGUAGCCCCAGCUCUCCACAACUACAGAAAGCCCGCUCGUAGGAACAAAAACACAACGCAGCCAAUAAAAGUAAUAGUA